UUGGAGGGCAAGUCUGGUGCCAGCAGCCGCGGUAAUUCCAGCUCCAAUAGCGUAUAUUAAAAUUGUUGCAGUUAAAAAGCUCGUAGUUGAAUUUCUGCUGCAUUGCUUUUGCUCCUUUACGAGUCUUUGCAUUGUGGCUUAUUUCGGACUUUGUUUUACAAUGUCCGGAUGUUUACUUUGAGAAAAUUAGAGUGCUCAAAGCAGGCUUUCGCCUUGAAUAGUUUAGCAUGGAAUAAUAAAGUAGGACUUUGGUUCUAUUUUGUUGGUUUUAGGUACCAAAGUAAUGGUUAAUAGGAACAGUUGGGGGCAUUCGUAUUUAACUGUCAGAGGUGAAAUUCUUAGAUUUGUUAAAGACGAACUACUGCGAAAGCAUUUGCCAAGGAUGUUUUCAUUAAUCAAGAACGAAAGU
rnacentral:rRNA from 1 species